AAAACCGACACGAAACGGGGAAUAGCCUUGAGCCCAAAAGUGAUGAAGCAACAGUUUUUCUAAUCAAACGAACUGAGGCCUUCAUCCUGCAAACCCCAAGUUUCCAGUGAGGAAUGGUUUAACGUUGAGGAGGAGGAGAGAAAGAAGAAGAUUAUUAAACAAGAAAAAAUAAUUGGCCAGGAGGACCAUCUGAGCAAAGCUACACAACAAAGCAAUCAAGAGCAGACACGGAAGCAGGAACAGCAGCAACAGAGGGCAAAGGCUGAGAAAUGUCACGUGGGAAAGAAAGAACAAAUGUACCCCAAAGAGAAGCAGAAGAAGCAGCUGAGGCCAAGGCCAAAUUACCAGCAGUGAAGCUGAAGGCAUCAGAAGCAAGUACAGGGCCAAGACGGAACCAGCAAAAGAGGCAAGGUCUGAAGCAAUAGCCAGAGCCGCAGAGAAGGUGGCAAGAUCACAAAUUGCAUUGGUUUUGCAAUCGGCAAAAGCAGAGCUGAGGCACAGAAGAAAUAAUCCAAGCUUGAGACAAAAGGAUACUCUUCUGAACAACUUGGAGGAAAACGGAAUAAAUGAGACUGAAAUGCAGUGAAGGCAGAAUGUGAUCAGUAGAUCCAUGGUAUGUAGUGGGAACAAGUGGACCUUCUUUGAGUAAUAGCAAAUCACACCCAGUAAUGGUGUGUCUUCCUUGGGAAACAUCAAUAACAUUGAUCAAUAAAGAUGCACAGAAUUCUGAA